AUUUUUCUCAUCUGGGUUUUCAGUUUUCAUCACUUUGAUCAAUUUAGUUUCUAUAUUUUCAGAAGCUGAUUUCAUCCAAGGUUACUGAAUCACCCUUAUAAGGCAAGUCUUCAUGAGAUCAACGAGGAACCCAGUUGCCCAUCUCCUUUAAUCUUUGAUUUCGAGCAGGCAACUCUUGACGAAGAAGAUAUAAAGGAGCUCAUAUGGAAGGAGUCUCUGAACUUCUGCUAGGAUCAGAUGCAAUGGACACAACUGCAACCACUAUUUAGAAGCAUGCAUUGGUAAAGGAAGCCAGUGAAGGAAGCACAGAGCUUGGUUUCUCAUUAAAGCAUGAUAUUAACAUAAACCUAUCUAUCUAGCUUGGGUGUUCAUGGUUUUCAUAUAUGGAUGGUGACUUCAGGUAGAGGCACAUAAUCUUAAAAACAAAGUGAUUCAAACAAAAAGAAGUUGCAGAGAUUGGGGGAUGAUUAUUUUGAAGGACUUCUAGGGCCUAUUUAUUGGUGAUCAUCAGAUAUUGAGAAAAAUCAAUGUGGUUUCAUACUUUUUUUGAGUUUUCCUUCCUCUUUGAUUAAUCAAGCAUGGCAACUCUCCUUUUGGGUCUUUGAUCAGCUAUGUAAGCUUAUGUUUGCUUUUUCUGUUCAUAGAAAGGUAGCAAAGUCUUCGAAUGAUAUGUAAAUAGACGUAAUUAGUGAAGUAGAGGACAUUUUUUCU